rnacentral:rRNA from 1 species
GAGUUUGAUCCUGGCUCAGGACGAACGCUGGCGGCGUGCCUAACACAUGCAAGUCGAGCGGAGACAGUGAGUAGCUUGCUAUGAGCUGUUUUAGCGGCGGACGGGUGAGUAACGCGUGAGCAACCUUUCCCAGACAGGGGAAUAACACACCGAAAGGUGUACUAAUACCGCGUAAGACCACGGGAUCACAUGGUUCUGGGGUAAAAGAUUUAUCGGUUUGGGGUGGGCUCGCGUCCGAUUAGGUAGUUGGUGAGGUAACGGCCCACCAAGCCGACGAUCGGUAGCCGACCUGAGAGGGUGAUCGGCCACAUUGGGACUGAGACACGGCCCAAACUCCUACGGGAGGCAGCAGUGGGAAUAUUGGGCAAUGGAGGAAACUCUGACCCAGCAACGCCGCGUGGAGGAAGAAGGUUUUCGGAUCGUAAACUCCUGUCCUUGGAGACGAGUAGAAGACGGUAUCCAAGGAGGGAGCCCCGGCUAACUACGUGCCAGCAGCCGCGGUAAUACGUAGGGGGCAAGCGUUGUCCGGAAUAAUUGGGCGUAAAGGGCGCGUAGGCGGCUCGGUAAAUCUGGAGUGAAAGUCCUGCUUUUAAGGUGGGAAUUGCUUUGGAUACUGUCGGGCUUGAGUGCAGGAGAGGUUAGUGGAAUUCCCAGUGUAGCGGUGAAAUGCGUAGAGAUUGGGAGGAACACCAGUGGCGAAGGCGACUAACUGGACUGUAACUGACGCUGAGGCGCGAAAGUGUGGGGAGCAAACAGGAUUAGAUACCCUGGUAGUCCACACUGUAAACGAUGAAUGCUAGGUGUAGGGGGUAUCGACCCCUUCUGUGCCGCAGUCAACACAAUAAGCAUUCCGCCUGGGGAGUACGGCCGCAAGGUUGAAACUCAAAGGAAUUGACGGGGGCCCGCACAAGCAGCGGAGCAUGUGGUUUAAUUCGACGCAACGCGAAGAACCUUACCAGGUCUUGACAUCCACUUAAACUUACAGAGAUGUAAGGUGUGCUUGCACAAAGUGAGACAGGUGGUGCAUGGUUGUCGUCAGCUCGUGUCGUGAGAUGUUGGGUUAAGUCCCGCAACGAGCGCAACCCUUAUCUUCAGUUACUAACGCGUGAGGGUGAGGACUCUGAAGAGACUGCCGGGGACAACUCGGAGGAAGGUGGGGACGACGUCAAAUCAUCAUGCCCCUUAUGACCUGGGCUACACACGUGCUACAAUGGCCACGACAGAGAGAAGCGAAAUCGCAAGGUAGAGCGGAACUCAAAAAAGUGGUCCCAGUUCGGAUUGUGGGCUGCAACCCGCCCACAUGAAGUCGGAGUUGCUAGUAAUCGCGGAUCAGCAUGCCGCGGUGAAUACGUUCCCGGGCCUUGUACACACCGCCCGUCACACCAUGGGAGUUGGGAGUGCCCAAAGCCGGUGAGGCAACCGCAAGGAGCCAGCCGUCUAAGGCAAGACCAAUGACUGGGGUGAAGUCGAAACAAGGUA